rnacentral:rRNA from 1 species
GAUGAACGCUGGCGGCGUGCCUAACACAUGCAAGUCGAACGGAACUUUUACGGAUUGAGACUUCGGUUGAUUGAGGUUUAAGUUUAGUGGCGAACGGGUGAGUAACGCGUGAGAAACCUGCCUUUCAGUGGGGGACAACAGUUGGAAACGACUGCUAAUACCGCAUAACGUAUCGAGAGGGCAUCCUUUUGAUACCAAAGCUUUAUGUGCUGAAAGAUGGUCUCGCGUCUGAUUAGCUAGAUGGCGGGGUAACGGCCCACCAUGGCGACGAUCAGUAGCCGGUCUGAGAGGAUGAACGGCCACAUUGGGACUGAGAUACGGCCCAGACUCCUACGGGAGGCAGCAGUGGGGAAUAUUGGGCAAUGGGGGAAACCCUGACCCAGCAACGCCGCGUGAAGGAAGAAGGCCUUCGGGUUGUAAACUUCUUUUAGUAGGGACGAAUACGUGACGGUACCUACAGAAAAAGCAACGGCUAACUACGUG